rnacentral:rRNA from 1 species
CGGACGGGUGAGUAACGCGUAGGAACCUGACGCGCAGUGGGGGAUAACGCUGGGAAACCGGCGCUAAUACCGCAUGUGGUCGCAAGAAGAAAGCAGCAAUGCGCUGUGUGAGGGGCCUGCGUCCGAUUAGCUAGUUGGUGGGGUAAAGGCGUACCAAGGCACCGAUCGGUAGCUGGUCUGAGAGGAUGAUCAGCCAUACUGGGACUGAGACACGGCCCAG